rnacentral:ncRNA from 2 species
GUCAACAUGUGCUAUACUUAUACCUGGAGAAGUGUGCUAGAAUAAUAUCCAGCUUUAAAACCAUCGCUGUUGGAGGUCCCGCUGUUUAGGCAGGCCCGGUGACCCAUGAAAUAGUGAUGACCUAAAGUUUGGUACAUUU